AACAAACGCUGGCGGCGUGCCUAAUACAUGCAAGUCGAACGGGGUAGCAAUACCUAGUGGCGCACGGGUGAGUAACGCGUGGAUAAUCUGCCUUAGAGUGGGGGAUAACUAGUCGAAAGAUUAGCUAAUACCGCAUAAGACCACAAGAGCUGCGGCUCAAGGGGUCAAAGGUUUUUCGCUCUAAGAUGAGUCCGCGUAAGAUUAGCUAGUUGGUGAGGUAAUGGCUCACCAAGGCGACGAUCUUUAACUGGUCUGAGAGGAUGAUCAGUCACACUGGAACUGAGACACGGUCCAGACUCCUACGGGAGGCAGCAGUAGGGAAUAUUGCACAAUGGAGGAAACUCUGAUGCAGCGACGCCGCGUGAGUGAUGAAGGCCUUCGGGUCGUAAAGCUCUGUCGCAGGGGAAUAACACAAUGAAUGUACCCUGUAAGAAAGGAUCGGCUAACUUCGUGCCAGCCGCCGCAGUAAUAC
rnacentral:rRNA from 1 species